rnacentral:rRNA from 1 species
UACAGAGGGGGCAAGCGUUGUUCGGAAUUACUGGGCGUAAAGGGCGCGUAGGCGGCCUGCUAAGUCGAACGUGAAAUCCCUGGGCUCAACCCAGGAACUGCGUCCGAUACUGGCAGGCUUGAAUCCGGGAGAGGGAUGUGGAAUUCCAGGUGUAGCGGUGAAAUGCGUAGAUAUCUGGAGGAACACCGGUGGCGAAGGCGGCAUCCUGGACCGGUAUUGACGCUGAUGCGCGAAAGCGUGGGGAGCAAACAGG